rnacentral:lncRNA from 1 species
UCUAUUUGAAAUCCUUAGAAGACCUUCCAGCUAACUCAGAUUAAAUACAAAAACUUGCUGGUGGCCUCAAAGGUUUUCUAAGAUGUUGCUCCAGGCCCUUGUGCCUCACCGUGUAGUGCCCUCACUGAGCUCCAUCAUGCCAGCCACACCAGGUUCUUGGCCUUUAUUCCUGCAGUGUUCCGUGUCUGGCUCUCUCCUCAGGGCCUUUGCCUUUAGUUUUGUUGUUGCUCUUCUUGUUCGUCCCAAAUACAUUCCCCCAGGGAUUCUCACAGCUCAGUUCUGUACUUCAUUCUGCUUGAAACCAUCUCAUCAAAGAGUCUGUCAGGAGCCACCAUUGUAUCUAGAAUAACCAUCCUAGCACUCACCCACCACUUUCCCUUGCUUUUUAAAUUCUUCAGAGCAUUAUGUUAACCUCUUGUGAAUUUUUUUAUUCCCCAAUAAAAUAUAAGCUCCAUGAGGAGAUUUUUGUCUUUUUUAUUCACCUUCAGAACAAUGUCUGAUCUAUAGUAGGUAUUCAGUAGUAAAUAUCUGCAAAUGGAAUAAAUAUAACAACCUUUACUUCAUUGAAUAAUAUUUUAUCUUUUUAUUCAUUUAAGAAGCAUUUAUUGACUACCUCUUCUGUAACAGACACAGGGCGAAGUGCUGGGAAAAUAGUCCCUACCUUCCUUAUGCUUCUAACCCAGCAUUGAGACAAACAUUAAUCAAAUGUUGUACAAAUGUACUAGUCCCCUGACAAGUGAUACUAAAGUAAGCUUCAUGAAGCAAUGG